rnacentral:rRNA from 1 species
GACAGAGGCCCCAAGCGUUAGGCGGAAUCACUGGGCUUAAAGCGUGUGUAGGCGGAUCGUUAAGUGUCUUGUGAAAUCCCACGGCUCACCCGUGGAACUGCUGGCAUACUGGCGAUCUUGGGCCAACUAGGGGCAGCCGGAACAAGCGGUGGAGCGGUGAAAUGCGUAGAUAUCGCUUGGAACGCCGAAGGUGAAAACAGGCUGCUGGGGUUGUGCCGACGCUGAGACACGAAAGCCAGGGGAGCAAACGGG